rnacentral:rRNA from 1 species
AGCGAACGCUGGCGGCAGGCUUAACACAUGCAAGUCGAACACAUCCUUCGGGGUGAGUGGCAGACGGGUGAGUAACGCGUGGGAGCAUGCCCUUUGGUUCGGAAUAACUCAGGGAAACUUGAGCUAAUACCGGAUAAGCCCCCGGACUUGAUCCGGGGGGAAAGAUUUAUCGCCGAAGGAUUGGCCCGCGUCCGAUUAGCUAGUUGGUGAGGUAAUGGCUCACCAAGGCGACGAUCGGUAGCUGGUCUGAGAGGAUGAUCAGCCACACUGGGACUGAGACACGGUCCAGACUCCUACGGGAGGCAGCAGUGGGGAAUAUUGGACAAUGGGGGCAACCCUGAUCCAGCCAUGCCGCGUGAGUGAUGAAGGCCCUAGGGUUGUAAAGCUCUUUCGGCGGGGACGAUAAUGACGGUACCCGCAGAAGAAGCCCCGGCUAGCUUCGUGCCAGCCGCCGCUGUAA